CAUUCGUGUCUGCCGCCGCCACUCUAUUCCUCGGGAUCCAUCCUGAUCCACCUCAUCUUCAGCCACCCACCAAUCAGAGCAGCGCCCGACCUUCCCUGUCACAUCCAUCCCAUCGAUCCAGCCGCAGCCUCCUUCUCCUCGUGCCCACAUCCCACCGAGCUCCUUGGCUUGCGCACCAGCGCCCGAGCUCCCUGCUGCUUACCACCGGAGGCGUCACCGGCAACCCGAGGCCUCGUCGUCGCGCCCCUCGAGCGGGGAACCAUGGCGCCGCCACUUGGAGCUCCAUGACCACGCCUCCCUCUCCCGUCUCCGGCCAGAUCCAUGGCCCGGGGACCAGAUCCGCAGCCGCCCACUGUUCCCUGCUUCACCGGACCUCCUUCCCCGCACCAAGUCCCGCUGCCGUCCGCCCCCUGCAUCCUCUGCUUCGAGCAGGAGGACGAGCGCUCGACCGCGCGCGUUGACCGCACCCCUGCUUCGUCCACGUGCCUGGGCCACCUCUGCUUCGGCCCAGCCGCUCCCCCGCGUCGCGCAAGGCCCAGCUCCCCAAGUUUUCCUUCUCUAUAGAUGGGCCUUGGCCCAUGCUUCGGUUUCGUUCCGAAGUUGUGAGGAUUCCUUCGACUACGUUGGUUCGUCUACUUCAUGGAUUCGGUCUUCUUCCUAGUGCAAUUUCAGGCAAGAUGACCAUUACCCUCGAUAUCACAUCUAUCUUUGCUUUGCUAGUUGUUCGCUCUAUCGCUAUGUUGUACUACCUACCACUUGUUUUUCAUGCCUCUCAUAUUGCCACGUCAAGCCUCUAACCCACCUUCCUAGCAAACCGUUGUUUGGCUAUGUUACCGCUUUGCUCAGCCCCUCUUAUAGUGUUGCUAGUUGCAGGUGAAGUUGAAGAUUGCUCCAUGUUGGAACAUGGAUAUGUUGGGAUAUCACAAUA